CCCUUAGAUGUCCUGGGCCGCACGCGCGCUACACUGAACGGAUCAGCGCGUUUUCCCUUCCCGAGAGGGACGGGUAACCUGCUGAACCCCGUUCGUGGUAGGGAUCGGGGCUUGCAAUUAUUCCCCGUGAACCAGGAAUGCCCAGUAAGUGCAAGUCAUAAGCUUGCGUUGAUUACGUCCCUGCCCUUUGUACACACCGCCCGUCGCUACUACCGAUUGAACGUUUUAGUGAGGUACUCUGACUGAGCCUCAGAAGAUUCACGUCUUUUGUGCUGCUCGGGAAGAUUCCCAAACUUGAGCGUUUAGAGGAAGUAAAAGUCGUAACA
rnacentral:rRNA from 1 species